GUGGGGAAUAUUGGACAAUGGGCUAAAGCCUGAUCCAGCAAUGCCGCGUGAGUGAUGAAGGCCCUAGGGUUGUAAAGCUCUUUUACCCGGGAUGAUAAUGACAGUACCGGGAGAAUAAGCUCCGGCUAACUCCGUGCCAGCAGCCGCGGUAAUACGGAGGGAGCUAGCGUUGUUCGGAAUUACUGGGCGUAAAGCGCGCGUAGGCGGUUUUCCAAGUCAGGGGUGAAAGCCCGGGGCUCAACCCCGGAAUAGCCCUUGAAACUGGAAGACUAGAAUCUUGGAGAGGUCAGUGGAAUUCCGAGUGUAGAGGUGAAAUUCGUAGAUAUUCGGAAGAACACCAGUGGCGAAGGCGACUGACUGGACAAGUAUUGACGCUGAGGUGCGAAAGCGUGGGGAGCAAACAGGAUUAGAAACCCCAGUAGUCC
rnacentral:rRNA from 1 species